GCGUAAAGGGAGCGCAGGCGGUUGGAAUAGUCUGAUGUGAAAGCCCACGGCUUAACCGUGGAAGGUCAUUGGAAACUGUCCAACUUGAAUGCAGAAGAGGUAAGUGGAAUUCCAUGUGUAGCGGUGAAAUGCGUAGAUAUAUGAAGGAACACCAGUGGCGAAGGCGACUUACUGGUCUGUAAUUGACGCUGAGGCUCGAAAGCGUGGGUAGCGAACAGGAUUAGAUACCCUGGUAGUCCACGCCGUAAACGAUGAGUGCUAAGUGUUGGAGGGUUUCCGCCCUUCAGUGCUGGAGUUAACGCAUUAAGCACUCCGCCUGGGGAGUACGGCCGCAAGGCUGAAACUCAAAGGAAUUGACGGGGACCCGCACAAGCGGUGGAGCAUGUGGUUUAAUUCGACGCAACGCGAAGAACCUUACCAGCUCUUGACAUCUUCUGUUCACCCUAGAGAUAGGGCUUCCCCUUCGGGGGCAGAAUGACAGGUGGUGCAUGGUUGUCGUCAGCUCGUGUCGUGAGAUGUUGGGUUAAGUCCCAUAACGAGCGCAACCCUUAUUGUUAGUUGCCAGCAUUCAGUUGGGCACUCUAGCGAGACUGCCGGUGAUAAACCGGAGGAAGGUGGGGAUGACGUCAAAUCAUCAUGCCCCUUAUGAGCUGGGCUACACACGUGCUACAAUGGACGGUACAACGGGUAGCGAGGGCGCGAGCCUUAGCAAAUCCUAAUAAGCCGUUCUCAGUUCGGAUUGUUCUCUGCAACUCGAGAGCAUGAAGCCGGAAUCGCUAGUAAUC
rnacentral:rRNA from 1 species